rnacentral:rRNA from 1 species
ACGCUCGACACCUACUGGAGGCAGCAGUGGGGAAUAUUGCACAAUGGGGGAAACCCUGAUGCAGCGACGCCGCGUGAAGGAAGAAGUAUUUCGGUAUGUAAACUUCUAUCAGCAGGGAAGAAAAUGACGGUACCUGACUAAGAAGCCCCGGCUAACUACGUGCCAGAAGCCGCGGUAAUCUGAGCGGGCUGGCAAGGC